rnacentral:rRNA from 1 species
UACGAAGGGGGCUAGCGUUGCUCGGAAUCACUGGGCGUAAAGGGUGCGUAGGCGGGUCUUCUAAGUCAGGGGUGAAAUCCUGGAGCUCAACUCCAGAACUGCCUUUGAUACUGAGGAUCUUGAGUUCGGGAGAGGUGAGUGGAACUGCGAGUGUAGAGGUGAAAUUCGUAGAUAUUCGCAAGAACACCAGUGGCGAAGGCGGCUCACUGGCCCGAUACUGACGCUGAGGCACGAAAGCGUGGGGAGCAAACAGGG